UUUGUAAACAUUAGAAAUGGCGCAAGGAGGUUCGACUUCUUACGACAAUUUAGACGAUGUGUCAUGUCCCAUAUGCCUAGAAAUAUACGAAAAACCGUACAGGAUAUGUUGUGGUCACGUGUUGUGUUCCCAUUGCCUAGAGCAAUAUAUGGCACUAGCAGAACCACAUUGUCCAGUUUGCAGAUGCAUAUUCAACCCACAGAAACGGAAGAAAGAUUCAACCCUCAUUAAAUUGAUCGCAUCUCAAAAGGGCACUUGUAAAGGAUGCAAUAAAAAGACCUAUCUUAACAAGCUGAGAUCUCACAUGGCAGGCUGCAAUAAACUGCUGUCCACAGCUGCUGCAACAAAGUUCAAACCUGUUGCAGACACCUCCCAGCCAGCACCAAGAGAUGUACCAAAUAGACAGACUUUCCAAUGCCCAUAUUGUGGCCAAAGGAACUUUGACACAAACGGAUUGAAAAUCCAUGUUAAUGAGAAUCACCAGUCAAGCAAGGCACAAGUAGUGUGUCCUAUAUGUUCAUCUAUGCCAUGGGGGGACAGCAAUCAAAGGAGUGGCAAUUUUAUCCAACAUCUCAACCUGCGACAUAAGUUUGAAUAUGAUACAUAUGUGGAUUUUAGUAUUGAUGAUGAUACAAUGUUACAAGCUGCACUCAAGGCAUCAUUAGAAUCUCAGUGACUGACAGUGGGACAUUGAAGUAAUUAUGCUGAUGUAGCAAUUUCAACAUUGACGAAACAAUGCAGCUAGAAGUACAUUUACAUGUAACAAUGUGGAUAUAGGAACAUUGUCUAACAGUUUGGAUACAGGACGUUUAACAUCAAUGUUACAAAAUGAAUACAGAUUCAUUGCAUACUGAAGCAUACUGUAGACUUUAAAAAUGAGUCUCAAGAACAUUGACAUAUAAUAUGAUUCAAUAGUAUUUGAAGCUUCAAAGCAAACUUAAGUACUUCAGUACUUAGAACUUAAGUACUGAACAGCAGCAUAACACUAACUGUUAUUAUUCACUGUUUUAUGUUGCUAAAAUCAGUGCAAAUAAGUGCAGAAAUUGGAAACUCAGAAAUGGAUAAGAUGAGACAUGAAAUGUCUUUUUGUAAUUGUUGUAUUUGCCUAUCAUCCAGGAUAUCUUUGUAACACUUGAUUUAUCAACUAUCUAAGCCAAUCAAAUAAGCAUUUGCUUUAUAGCUUUGAAAUCUCGAAGUCUCAUUAUAAUGAGGUUUUAAGUGAUUUGCAUAUUAAGCCACCAAGGACUACAUAUUUUCUUAAAUUCCAUAACAUACAUGUAUUUGAAUUCUGUGUAAAACUUUGAUUUGCAGUAUGGUUAUUUAUAUUAUUCAAUGUCUAAGAAUUUUCAACUUUUCAGAAAAAGAUCAGUCCUUAUUGACAGAAUGUUAAAAAAUCUUCAAAAGAUAAUUUUUAGGUUAAGCCCCGAUCCACAUGUCAACAAUAUCACCUUGUUGUAUGCCAAUGGAGUUUUACACUAUAGUCCAUUAAUACUCAAUAAAACAAAAAAUUAUAAGCAACUUUCAGUUUUUGCAAUUGUCAAUGAUAGUAUUUAGGCUUUCCAAUGCUUAAUGUUACAUAUCGUGUCAUACCU
rnacentral:misc_RNA from 1 species